UACGUAGGUGGCAAGCGUUGUCCGGAUUUACUGGGUGUAAAGGGCGUGCAGCCGGGCUGACAAGUCAGAUGUGAAAUCCCGCGGCUUAACCGCGGAACUGCAUUUGAAACUGUUGGUCUUGAGUAUCGGAGAGGCAGGCGGAAUUCCUAGUGUAGCGGUGAAAUGCGUAGAUAUUAGGAGGAACACCAGUGGCGAAGGCGGCCUGCUGGACGACAACUGACGGUGAGGCGCGAAAGCGUGGGGAGCAAACAGG
rnacentral:rRNA from 1 species